CCUUUUUCCUCUCCAACCCAUUUUCACAGUCCUUCCUCUUCUCACCGGCCAAUCCCGCCAGCCGCCGGAUUAUCCCGCUCAAAUCUUCUUCUUCCUCUUCAAAUUCUCGACACACAGACAUCUAUGUAACUCAAAGAUAGCUGCUUGGAGAUUGUGGCUUGUUGAAUUAAUCGUGGUUCAAGUGAUUUGUGGCCGAAUUUUCUUGAAGUAUUUGGGUUCUUAUUUGUUGCCCAUUUGUUAAAUUCUUGAAAUUUAGCAUUCUUGAUGCAGUUUGAGUUUUGGCAUUUGUGGUAGUUUCCAAAUGAAACAUGGCGUUUUAAAGAGGAAAAAAACGAGGCCUUUUAAAAUGUGGGCUUGGGUCUAAAAUCUAAAUGAACAACGCUAAUGGCUGAACAGGGCUUAUCUGUAGUGUCUGGUGCAAAUGCAACUAUCACUCUGCCCGGCCACUCGGCUGAAGAUGCUUACCCAGUUUCUAGUGUGAAUCCAAGUGUAUCUUUGGCGAGUCAAACAUUGGCGAUUGGGCAGGAGUUCCCGGAUGUGGAUACUUGUAGAAGAACAUUGAAGGAUAUAGCCAUAGCAUUGCAUUUUGAGAUUCGGAUAGUGAAAUCUGACAGGAGUAGGUUUAUAGCUAAGUGUUCAAAAGAUGGUUGUCCGUGGCGUGUCCACGUUGCAAAGUUGCCUGGAGUUCCCACAUUUACCAUUAGAACGCUUAAUGCAGAGCAUACGUGUGAAGGCGUCCAAAAUCUUCAUCAUCAACAGGCAUCUGUGGGCUGGGUUGCACGAUCUAUGGAAGCACGUAUCAGGGAUAAUCCACAAUACAAGCCAAAGGAGAUUUUGCAAGAUAUUCGAGAUCAACAUGGGGUAGCAGUCUCUUAUAUGCAGGCAUGGCGAGGGAAGGAACGUAGUAUGGCUGCAUUACAUGGGACUUAUGAAGAAGGUUUCAAGCUUCUACCUGCAUAUUGUGAGCAGAUAAGGAAAACUAAUCCUGGCAGCAUUGCUUCUGUUGUUGCCACAGGACAAGAAAAUACAUUCCAACGGUUAUUUGUUUCUUAUCGUGCUGCAAUCUAUGGUUUCAUUAAUGCUUGCCGUCCACUAUUAGAACUGGACAGAGUCCAUCUUAAAGGAAAGUACUUGGGAACAUUGUUCUGUGCUGCUGCCAUUGAUGCUGAUGAUCAACUGUUUCCAUUGGCAAUAGCUGUCGUUAAUGUGGAAAGUGAUGAGAAUUGGAUGUGGUUCAUGUCAGAGCUGCGUAAGCUUCUAGGGGUGAAUACUGAUAGUAUGCCCAGACUCACAAUACUUUCUGAGAGAACAAUAGGUAUGGUAGAAGCUGUCGAGACUCAUUUUCCUAAUGCAUUCCACGGCUUUUGCCUGCGAUUUAUCAGCGAGAACUUCCGUGAUACGUUCAAGAACUCAAAGUUGGUGAACAUAUUCUGGAAUGCUGUCUAUGCGCUCACAACAGCUGAAUUCGAAAGUAAAAUAUCUGAGAUGGUGCAGAUUUCAGAGGAUGUCUUGCCUUGGCUACACCAUUUCAACCCUCAGCUGUGGGCCGUGGCAUACUUUGAAGGCGUACGCUACGGCCAUUUCACCUUGACUGCCACAGAAUUGCUGUACAAUUGGGCAUUAGAAUGUCACGAGCUCCCUAUUGUUCAGAUGAUGGAGCAUAUUCGGCAUCAGUUAACAUCAUGGUUCAAUGAACGUCUUAACAUUGGAAUGCGACUGACCUCAAUUCUUGUACCCUCGGCUGAAAAGCGGAUUUCAGAAGCUAUUUCGGAUGCUCGCUGUUACAAAGUGCUCCGUGCCAAUGAGGUUGAGUUUGAGAUUGUUUCAACUGAACGGACAAACAUCGUGGACAUAAGAAAUCGAGUCUGCUCAUGUCGCCGGUGGCAGCUCUACGGUCUGCCAUGUGCACAUGCAGCUGCAGCUCUUAUCUCCUGUGGGCAAAAUGCUCACUUGUUUGCUGAGCCUUGCUUCACAGUCCACAGCUACCGAGAAACCUACUCACAGAUGAUACACCCGAUCCCCGACAAGAGCCUGUGGAAGGAGCUGGGCGAAGGCACUGAUGGUGGAGGAGCUAAAGUUGAUAUCAUCAUUCGGCCACCUAAAACGCGUAGGCCUCCUGGAAGACCGAAAAAGAAAGUUCUGCGCUUGGAGAGUUUGAAACGCCCAAAGAGAGUUGUUCAAUGUGGCCGAUGCCAUAUGCUCGGUCACUCUCAGAAGAAAUGCACACAGCCAAUGUGAUGCAUUCUCAGGCUGUAAAUAAGUGGACACAUACGAAUGCUACUCAAAUCUUGAUUUGAAGUUCAUUCUAAAUUUGUCUAUAAACGAGCAGCUCGAGCCUCAAUCUGAGGAGCAACUCGAGCCUAUCUACUCCCGGAAGAUUCAAACAGCUCUACUAGGCUGGCCAUUUUCUGAAAUUUCAGGUCCUUUAGUUUGAUCAUUGUGAUCUUUGUUUUAGACAUGACUGAACUUAUCAGGAACCGGUUUGGCAAGAACGGCGCCAAAAGCUGUCUCUGGUUAUCUCUUUUUCUCAACAAAUCCUGAGUCUAAUUUUACACCUCAGAAGAUAACAAGAGGUGUAGGUCCUUGGGGUCCAGACCUGGUUCGCAAGUAUACGAGUGCUAGAUUUGGGUCAUAUUCAGAUGGAAGUAUACUGAAUGAGGAUGAAUCAAGAUUACUUACAGGUAGUCUUUAUUUGUCUCAAUCACACUUUGGCAGCUAAAGCCAGUGGCCGAAGUCUUUCGCACACGACCAGGACAUUAAGAAUCUCCCAGAAGGGCUACGAUCCGUUUAGAGGAACGAGUGUAGGGUUUCAGUUGUAUUACCUAAUAAGUGACCAUUCCAUCACAUUCAUGCAUCUGUUGUUUGUUUUGUACCCACAAUAUUUGUGAUGUAUAUUACUGGUGAAAGAAUGUAGAGCAGUUGUGUUAGUUUUCA